rnacentral:rRNA from 1 species
UGGGGAAUAUUGGACAAUGGGCGGAAGCCUGAUCCAGCAACGCCGCGUGAGGGAUGACGGCCUUCGGGUUGUAAACCUCUUUCAGUACCGACGCGGUAGGUACAGAAGAAGCACCGGCCAACUACGUGCCAGCAGCCGCGGUAAUACGUAGGGUGCGAGCGUUGUCCGGAAUUAUUGGGCGUAAAGGGCUCGUAGGCGGUUUGUCGCGUCGGGAGUGAAAACACGGGGCUUAACUCGGUGCUUGCUUUCGAUACGGGCAGACUAGAGGCAUGCAGGGGAGAACGGAAUUCCUGGUGUAGCGGUGAAAUGCGCAGAUAUCAGGAGGAACACCGGUGGCGAAGGCGGUUCUCUGGGCAUGUCCUGACGCUGAGGAGCGAAAGUGUGGGGAGCGAACA